GUGUUUCUGAGGAUUUUGAUGUUACUAGGUUGGCCAAGGAAAUCACUAGUUCUGCUACUGGGAGAAGUUAUGGUGACUUGACAAUGGAUCAAUUGCAGGCACGUUUGAGAAGGAGUUUGGCUGGUAGAAAGUUUUUGCUUGUCUUGGAUGAUGUGUGGAAUGAAAAUCUUGUGAGAUGGGUUGAAUUAAGAGGUUUGUUGGAGGGUUGUGCUAUGGGGAGUAAAAUUAUUGUCACUACAAGGAGUUCAAAAGUCGCUUCUAUUAUGGGCAUUGAGCUUGCAUACAAUUUGCCUGGUCUUCCACACAAGGAUUGCUUGUCUUUGUUUCUGAAAUGGGCGUUUAAUGCUGGACAAGAGAAGCAAUAUCCAAAUCUGGUGGACAUCGGGAAUGAGAUUGUGAGGAAAUGUGGAGGGGUUCCUCUGGCAGUGAGGACAUUAGGAAGUUUGCUUUAUGCAUCUACUGAUGAAAGACAUUGGCUAUCCAUAAGAGAUAAUGAGAUAUGGAAAUUAAAACAGGAGGAAAAUGACAUCCUACCAGUGCUGAAGUUGAGCUAUGAUCAAAUACCUUCUUACUUGAAACGAUGUUUUGCAUAUUGUUCCCUAUUCCCAAAAAAUUAUGUGUUGUAUAGUUUUGAAUUGGUACAAUUUUGGAUGGCUCAUGGGCUUCUUGACUUGCCUGGUGAAGACCAGGAGUCGGAAGACCAUGGGAUGCAGUAUGUGAAAGAAUUAUGGUCAAGAUCUUUUUUCCAAGAUGUUGAGGAUCAUGGUUUCUUUUUCACCUGCAAAAUGCAUGAUCUUGUACACGAUCUAGCUAUAUCAGUAGCACAAAGUGAGUGCUCAACUGUAACCUUUCUCACCCCAACUGUUAAUGAAAAAAUUCGUCAUUUUUCUUUUUUGGGCACUAAUUUGCCGGGCCAAGAAGUUCCGAAGUUCUUACAAAAGCUAGAUCGGGUUAGAACCAUAUUUUUCCCAGUCAGAGGGAUGGGACCUAGCAGCGAAACAUUUAUUGACGCCUGUAUAUCAAGAUUCAAACACUUACGGGUGCUAAAUCUUAGUGAUUCAUGUUUUGAGGCAUUGCCUAAUUCAAUUGGUACCUUGAAGCAUUUGAGAUAUCUUGACCUUUAUAGGAAUCGUAAGAUCAGGAAACUCCCCAAUUCCAUUUGUAAGCUGCAGAAUCUGCAAACCUUAAGACUUGAAGAAUGUGAGAAGCUUGAAGAAAUUCCUAGAGAUAUCAAGAACAUGAGCAACCUCAGGUUUUUGGAGAUAACUACAAAACAGACUUCUUUGUUGGAGAAUGGGAUAGAAUGUCUCAGUUCUCUUCGAUAUCUGUCCUUAUUUGAAUGUGGAAAUUUGGAACAUUUGUUUGAAGGCAUGCAGUUCCUCACAUCACUUAGAACAUUGGUGAUAACUUCCUGUGGAAGCUUGACUUGUUUGCCUCACAGUUUAAAGCACCUGUCCGCUUUAGAGACCUUGGUAAUUGGUGACUGUGCAAAGCUUAACUUGAUGGAAAUGGAAUACAAUGAAGAUUUCGAUCUGAGCCUUACUUCAUUGGUCAUUGGAGAAUUACCACAGUUGGUGACUUUGCCCCACUCACUUCAAGGAUGUGCGUCCACCUUACAAUACAUAUACAUUGAUGAUUGUCCUAACUUCACAGCAUUACCAGACUGGACGCGAAAUCUAACAUCACUUAAAAGGCUGGAGAUCAUUAGAUGUCCUGAAUUGUUUUCUCUGCCGGAGGAGAUGCACUGCCUCACUGCCUUGAGAGAACUGAAGAUUGGACUUUGUCCUGAACUACGUGAAAGGUGUGAUCCAGAAACUGGCGAGGAUUGGCCUAAGAUAGGUCAUAUUCCUGAGAUUUUUCUUAAUGGCAUCAAGGUUAAAUCAACAACUAACUAGGUAGGCAGUCUGCUAAUUAGUUAUCUGUUCAUCCUAUUCAUUUUUAGAAUGCCACUGUUCUUUUUUUUUUUGAGGAUAGAGGUCACUGUUCUUAUUACUGCUUAGUUUUGUUAUGCCAUGAUUCUAUCUUCUUGCUCACUAUAUUCAGUGGAUUUUAUUUGUUAUGAUAAUUGAAAUGAACUCUUACUGAUUUAACCAAUUGUAGCAUACUGUAGAGAUGACAUCCAUCAGAUAAAUGCAUCUUGCAGUUUUCUUAGAUUACUGUCAUUUUGCAUUAGGGUUAUUUGGGCAUUUAAAAUUUGUUGAUUCCUUGUUCUUCAAAAUUACAGCCCUGAUGUCUUUGGAUUGACUGGUCUACUGGGAUUUGUGGAUAACUUGGCUCUUAUUGGGAGAGCUAUUGGAGUUAAAAUGGGCUACUGGUCAGAUAGCUUCUUGAUGAAUUCCAGUUCAAAUAACAACUAUCAUCGAUCCUCAACUUUGUUCUUAUCCAAACUAAUUCUAAGUUCUAAAUAUUCGAAACCGGCAUUAUCCCAAUGAGUGAAUAUAUGACGCAUUGUUCUUAAAGGGUUGGGUUGUGCAUAUGCUUGAAGUACCUCAUCAAAUACCAACCAGUGGUCCUGCAAGUAAAAAGAAUGCUUCUUUUUUUUUUUUCUCUUUCUUUUUUGAUUGCUGAUAGUAUGGAGCAUAUAAGAACACUGUUCUCCGUAUGAAUAAGGUUAUAAGUAACUAUGUUUCUGGUGGUUGAUUUCAUCUUAAGUUCAUUUUCUUUUUUUAACUGUUGCAGCGGUUAUGGAGAUUCAACUGGAAUUGACAGCCAGCAAAAUUUUCCACCACCACCAGAAUUCAGAGUCUUGCAUAUGAUGCCACCUUCUUGUUUGGCGUGUAUUUGCAUAAUCCAUCAUAUUGUGGUUUUACCAAGAAAUAUUGAUCCCUAUACAAAACAGAAAAGAAGAAAUCGGUUCUGUAUAUCUGUGCCCCAACAAAUUUGAGAGUAAGGUUUAGUUGAGCUGAGCUGAAAUGGAUCGAGUACAAAAGAAAUGUCGAUACUCGAUGGUGUGCAUACAUUGAUUCAUAUAGUCAUAUGCAAAAGUUUCUCACUAUUUCUAAUUUGAUGAUUUAGGCUUUUGUCACUGCUAUAAGCCCAGAACUCAUCGUUGAUAUUGCUGUAAUGUAAUGUCUUAUCGUUGAUAUUGUUGUAAUGUAAUGUUUUAGUACCUUCCUAGCAUGAAAAACAUUUAUAACUUUCUUUUGAAGUUGCCUUGCAAGUUGAGAUCUAGACGCUGGACCUCCUGCAAUUACAGACGCACGGUCCCUAUUAAUCCAGUUGCAUGGCAUAGAUUGAUGUUGCAUGUUACCAUCAACAAUAUGACAACAUGAAAUUAUUUGAAAGUGAAAUAUCAAUUCAAAAGAAACAUGAUAAUAG
rnacentral:misc_RNA from 1 species